CCACGUAGGGCGCAAGCGUUGUCCGGAUUUAUUGGGCGUAAAGGGCUCGUAGGCGGUUUCGUAAGUCGGGUGUGAAAACUCAGGGCUCAACCCUGAGACGCCACUCGAUACUGCGAUGACUUGAGUCCGGUAGGGGAGCAGGGAAUUCCUGGUGUAGCGGUGAAAUGCGCAGAUAUCAGGAGGAACACCAUUAGCGAAGGCGCUGCUCUGGGCCGGUACUGACGCUGAGGAGCGAAAGCAUGGGGAGCAAACAGGAUUAGAAACCCCAGUAGUCC
rnacentral:rRNA from 1 species